rnacentral:lncRNA from 1 species
AUUGGAACGAUUUUCUGAGUUUUGUUUUUAGAUUGUUAAUUGCUAGUAUAGAGAAAUUUAAAAUAUUUUAUAUAUUUUAUAUGCUGCAAACUUCUUUGAACUCAUCUUUAAAUUCUAAACAUAUUUGAUAGAGUCCUUUGGACUUUUUAUACAUGAGAUCAUGUCAUUUGCAAACAGUCGGAGUUUGACUUCCUUUCCAUACUAGAAACGUUAUAUUUAUUUUUCUAAAUGAAUUGCCCUGUCUACAUUCUCCAGUACAAUGUUGCGAACAAGUGUCAACAGUGGAAAUAUUUGACUUCUUUCUAAUAUCAGAGAAAUUAGUGAACCUUUCAGAUUACUUAUGAUGAUAUGUGAGCUUUUCAUAGAUGCCCUUUGAAAUGAAGAAAGUUCUCUUAUCUGCCUAAUUUGCUGCAUGUUUUUAUAAUACUGAAUCUGGGAAUUUUCAAGUGCUUGUUGCACACCUUCUGAGACGAUUGUGUAGUUUUUAUUCUUUAUUAAUAUAGUGUAUGACAUUAAUUGUAUCAUAUGUUGAACCAAAUUUGCAUUCCUGAGGUAAAUACCUUUUGCCAUAGUUUAUAAUACUUUCUACAUGUUGCUGAUUUCAUUUGAUAAUAUCUCGCUGCUGAUUUUUGUCUCUGUAUUUAUAAGGCAUAUUGGUCUUCAUUCUCCUUAUUUGAAAUGUCUUUGUGUAGUUGUUCAAUCAGGGUAAACUAAUUCAUAGUAUACAAUGGGAAGUGAUCUAUUUUCUACUUCUUUAUUAUUAUUGUAUUGUUUUGAAAUAUUUUUGAUAAAUUAGUAUUAAUUUUAAGUGAUUUUAAUAACACAUCAAUGAGUUCCUGAUGAGGGCAGGGAGGUGAAUCCUAAGAACAAUCAUGUGAGUUUGGAAGGAGACCCUUCCCCAGCUGAGCCUCAGCCUGAGCCAUCCCCUACAUCUAGACCGAAGACCCAGAGAAACCGUGAGUAGUAUGUGUGUGGUUCUGAGCCACUAAGGUAUGUAGUAAUUUGUUAUGCACCAAGUAGUAAGUAAUAUACCUGACAGUAAUUGUUAGGUGGUAUUCUGGAUUAGGUCCUGGAAUAGAUAAGUAUAUGAUUAUUAGAAAACCUGGUAAAAUAUGAAGGAAGUUUGUAGAUCAGUUAAUAGUCUUGAAAAACAGUUAAAUUCUUAGUUUUCAUGAAUAUGCUAUGGUUACAAUAUAUAUUAACAUUCUAGUUAUCUGAAUGGUAUAUGAAACUGUCUGUACUUACCUAUGUGCAUUUAUGUAAAUCUGCAGUUAUUUCAAAAUAAAUAUGUUUUUUAAUAUUAUUAUUAUUUUUUUAAGAAAAGUAAGCAAGUAAAGACAUCAGCAAAAAACUUUUGCCUCCAGAUACAAGUGGGCAUGUAGGGAGAGAAUAGUAAACUGGCUUUUCUUUUCUUUUCUAGGCAACAUUCGAAACCCAGGUGCCACUCCUUCAGGAAGGUACCAUCAAGCUCCAAGGACUCAUCCUCUUUCUCCUUCCCCACUACCUAGUCAUUAGAGCGUCAGCAUCCACUUCCUGAAAGGAAGAUGCCUGUUUUUCACAUAUCCCAGAAAGCCUCAUUUUAGGACAGCAUUUAGCAGAGUGUAUUCAGGAUCCCACUAACCUUUUCGGAAGACAUGACUUCCAGAUGAUAUAAGGCUCCAUCAGGA